rnacentral:misc_RNA from 1 species
UGACGCGGUCCCUGUAGGAGCUGCCGAAGGCUGCGAUCUUUUGAUUUUGGUCUUGAAGAUCAAAAGAUCGCAGCCUUCGGCAGCUCCUACAGGGGAC